rnacentral:rRNA from 1 species
AUACGUAGGGGGCGAGCGUUGUCCGGAAUGAUUGGGCGUAAAGGGCGCGUAGGCGGCCCGGUAAGUCUGGAGUGAAAGUCCUGUUUUUGAGAUGGGAAUUGCUUUGGAUACUGUCGGGCUUGAGUGCAGGAGAGGUAAGUGGAAUUCCCAGUGUAGCGGUGAAAUGCGUAGAGAUUGGGAGGAACACCAGUGGCGAAGGCGACUUACUGGACUGUAACUGACGCUGAGGCGCGAAAGUGUGGGGAGCAAACAGGAUUAGAUACCCUGGUAGUCCACACUGUAAACGAUGAAUGCUAGGUGUAGGGGGUAUCGACCCCUCCUGUGCCGCAGUCAACACAAUAAGCAUUCCGCCUGGGGAGUACGGCCGCAAGGUUGAAACUCAAAUGAAUUGGCGGGG